rnacentral:misc_RNA from 1 species
UAACAAAGAAGUGAUCUGCACCCAUGGUUCUAUUCCAGUAUGGAUAUUUGGCUAUCAAACUAUCAACAUAGUUCUGUACAAUUAUGGUCAUGUUCUCAUAUGAUGUUCCCUUUCCUCUCAUCUUAUGACAAGAGAUCGGAAUGAAGAACAAGUGAGCCUCAUUUGGAUCCUCAGUAACAAACUUACUCUCUCGAAUAUUCUGGAAGAAAUAUCCUUCACUAGAAUACUUCCCAGUCAGCUUCCUUGGCGUUUGAUAAAACGUUUUCGGAUCUCCAUCUUUAUAUAUAUACACCUUAAAUUUCCUCUCCAUUUCUUCAUAAUUCAACCUAAACACUCCCGGCGAAUUAUACACAUCCGAUAACACCUCCUCCUCCUCCCUAACAACCUGAGAUGAUUGCACGAUGAGCGAAGGAGUUUCAGAAGAAGGAGAAUUAGGAGAGUGGAAGGAUUUGAGGGAAAGGUAUGUGAAGGAGAGUAAGGUUAAGAUGGCGAGAGAGAGGAGGGAGCUUUGGAGACUGCAGUAACUAGAUGCCGGUGGUUGUGAAAGUUUCGUCGACCACAUUGCCGACAGAGUGGCGGAUUCCGGCGGAAAUUUUUCGGUGAAGAGGAGAAGUUUGGGCUCGG